AAUCAACGCUGGCGGCGUGCCUCAGACAUGCAAGUCGAACGCGAAAGUCCCCUUCGGGGGACAAGUAGAGUGGCGCACGGGUGAGUAACACGUAGGUAAUCUACCUUCGGAUGGGGAAUAACAACCGGAAACGGUUGCUAAUACCGCAUAAUGCAGCGGCACCUAAUGGUGACAGUUGUUAAAGCGGGGGAUCGAAAGACCUCGCGUCUGAAGAGGAGCCUGCGGCGGAUUAGCUAGNGGUAAGGUAAUGGCUUACCAAGGCGACGAUCCGUAGCCGGCCUGAGAGGGCGGUCGGCCACACUGACACUGACAUACGGGUCAGACUCCUACGGGAGGCAGCAGUCGGGAAUUUUGGGCAAUGGGCGAAAGCCUGACCCAGCAACGCCGCGUGAAGGAU
rnacentral:rRNA from 1 species